GACGAACGCUGGCGGCGUGCUUAACACAUGCAAGUCGAACGGAAAGGCCCUGCUUUUGUGGGGUGCUCGAGUGGCGAACGGGUGAGUAACACGUGAGUAACCUGCCCUUGACUUUGGGAUAACUUCAGGAAACUGGGGCUAAUACCGGAUAGGAGCUCCUGCUGCAUGGUGGGGGUUGGAAAGUUUCGGCGGUUGGGGAUGGACUCGCGGCUUAUCAGCUUGUUGGUGGGGUAGUGGCUUACCAAGGCUUUGACGGGUAGCCGGCCUGAGAGGGUGACCGGCCACAUUGGGACUGAGAUACGGCCCAGACUCCUACGGGAGGCAGCAGUGGGGAAUAUUGCACAAUGGGCGGAAGCCUGAUGCAGCAACGCCGCGUGCGGGAUGACGGCCUUCGGGUUGUAAACCGCUUUCGCCUGUGACGAAGCGUGAGUGACGGUAAUGGGUAAAGAAGCACCGGCUAACUACGUGCCAGCAGCCGCGGUGAUACGUAGGGUGCGAGCGUUGUCCGGAUUUAUUGGGCGUAAGGGCUCGUAGGUGGUUGAUCGCGUCGGAAGUGUAAUCUUGGGGCUUAACCCUGAGCGUGCUUUCGAUACGGGUUGACUUGAGGAAGGUAGGGGAGAAUGGAAUUCCUGGUGGAGCGGUGGAAUGCGCAGAUAUCAGGAGGAACACCAGUGGCGAAGGCGGUUCUCUGGGCCUUUCCUGACGCUGAGGAGCGAAAGCGUGGGGAGCGAACAGGCCUAGAUACCCUGGUAGUCCACGCUGUAAACGGUGGGUACUAGGUGUGGGGUCCAUUCCACGGGUUCCGUGCCGUAGCUAACGCUUUAAGUACCCCGCCUGGGGAGUACGGCCGCAAGGCUAAAACUCAAAGGAAUUGACGGGGCCCCGCACAAGCGGCGGAGCAUGCGGAUUAAUUCGAUGCAACGCGUAGAACCUUACCUGGGUUUGACAUGGAUCGGGAGUGCUCAGAGAUGGGUGUGCCUCUUUUGGGGUCGGUUCACAGGUGGUGCAUGGCUGUCGUCAGCUCGUGUCGUGAGAUGUUGGGUUAAGUCCCGCAACGAGCGCAACCCUUGUUCACUGUUGCCAGCACGUUAUGGUGGGGACUCAGUGGAGACCGCCGGGGUCAACUCGGAGGAAGGUGGGGAUGACGUCAAGUCAUCAUGCCCCUUAUGUCCAGGGCUUCACGCAUGCUACAAUGGCUGGUACAGAGAGUGGCGAGCCUGUGAGGGUGAGCGAAUCUCGGAAAGCCGGUCUCAGUUCGGAUUGGGGUCUGCAACUCGACCUCAUGAAGUCGGAGUCGCUAGUAAUCGCAGAUCAGCAACGCUGCGGUGAAUACGUUCCCGGG
rnacentral:rRNA from 1 species